rnacentral:rRNA from 1 species
UGGGGAAUAUUGCACAAUGGGCGCAAGCCUGAUGCAGCCAUGCCGCGUGUGUGAAGAAGGCCUUCGGGUUGUAAAGCACUUUCAGCGAGGAGGAAGGUGGUGGACUUAAUACGUUCAUCAAUUGACGUUACUCGCAGAAGGAGCACCGGCUAACUCCGUGCCAGCAGCCGCGGUAAUACGGAGGGUGCAAGCGUUAAUCGGAAUUACUGGGCGUAAAGCGCACGCAGGCGGUUUGUUAAGUCAGAUGUGAAAUCCCCGGGCUCAACCUGGGAACUGCAUUUGAAACUGGCAAGCUAGAGUCUCGUAGAGGGGGGUAGAAUUCCAGGUGUAGCGGUGAAAUGCGUAGAGAUCUGGAGGAAUACCGGUGGCGAAGGCGGCCCCCUGGANGAAGACUGACGCUCAGGUGCGAAAGCGUGGGGAGCAAACAGAUUAGAUACCCUGGUAGUCCACGCUGUAAACGAUGUCGAUUUUGGAGGUUGUGCCCCUUGAGGCGUGGNUUCCGGAGCUAACGCGUUAAAUCGACCGCCNGGGGAGUACGG